GGGUGCGAUCAUACCAGAGUUAAUGCAACGGAUCCCAUUAGAACUCCGCAGUUAAGCACGCUUGGGCCAGAGUAGUAUUGAGAUGGGUGACCUCCCGAGAAGCCCUGGAGUUGCACACU
rnacentral:rRNA from 1 species